GUAGGUGGCAAGCGUUGUCCGGAAUUAUUGGGCGUAAAGCGCGCGCAGGUGGUUCUUUAAGUCUGAUGUGAAAGCCCCCCGGGCUCAACCGGGGAGGGUCAUUGGAAACUGGGGAACUUGAGUGCAGGAGAGGAAAAGUGGAAUUCCACGUGUAGCGGUGAAAUGCGUAGAUAUGUGGAGGAACACCAGUGGCGAAGGCGACUUUCUGGCCUGUAACUGACACUGAGGCGCGAAAGCGUGGGGAGCAAACAGGAUUAGAUACCCUGGUAGUCCACGCCGUAAACGAUGAGUGCUAAGUGUUGGGGGGUUUCCGCCCCUCAGUGCUGCAGCUAACGCAUUAAGCACUCCGCCUGGGGAGUACGGUCGCAAAGACUG
rnacentral:rRNA from 1 species